CUACGGGAUGCAGCAGUGAGGAAUAUUGCACAAUGGGGGAAACCCUGAUGCAGCAACGCCGCGUGGAGGAUAACGCAUUUCGGUGUGUAAACUCCUUUUAUCAGAGAAGAAAAUGACGGUAUCUGAUGAAUAAGCUCCGGCUAACUCCGUGCCAGCAGCCGCGGUAAUACGGAGGGAGCAAGCGUUAUUCGGAAUCACUGGGCGUAAAGGACGCGUAGGCGGGUUUUUAAGUCAGGUGUGAAAUCCUAUGGCUCAACCAUAGAACUGCACUUGAAACUGGGGACCUAGAGUAUGGAAGGGGCAGGUGGAAUUAGUGGUGCAGGGGUAAUAUCCGUAGAUAUCACUAGGAAUACCGAAAGCGAAGGCGACCUGCUGGGACAUUACUGACGCUGAGGCGUGAAAGCGUGGGGAGCAAACAGGAUUAGAUACCCGAGUAGUC
rnacentral:rRNA from 1 species